AGAGUCCUGCCUUGGAACAGGUUAAAGGAGGGCAAGAGAAGGUCCGAGGCCUGCCCCUGAGGCCUACCACACCAAACGUUAUAACAACACAACAGUUUUUAUAUAUUUUCAGUUUUGCAUAAUAUGAAGUUAAAGACUUAAGUAAAUUGAGUAAAUAGUAGUUUUUUUUUUUUUAAUUUCACAGAUCAAUAGAGUUAACUCCUGAGUUAUAUGCAUACAACCCCAAAGUUGUUUGCUGUCUGGAGCUGUGCCUACACCCGCCUGGCAUAUUCUUGAGACAUUGGAGCUAGGAAGUUGGAAAUUGAUAGAAAAUUUUGUCACUUGUAACAGAGCUAAAGCAAUAUGGAUUAUGGUGGACCCUAUCACUUGGAAUACUUUCCUGAAAGCAACACAGGAUUCACCUUUAUUUGAUCUUAUUAAACAAUCAAAGGACCGAGAAGGACCAACUGAUCACCUUGAAUCUGCUUGUCCUCUUAAUCUUCCUCUCCAGAAUAAUCACACUGCAGCAGAUAUGUAUCUUUCUCCUGUAAGAUCUCCAAAGAAAAAAGGUUCAACUACGCGUGUAAAUUCUACUGCAAAUGCAGAGACACAAGCAACCUCAGCCUUCCAGACCCAGA
rnacentral:lncRNA from 10 species